GCGAGCAAAAAAAAGAAAAAAGAAGACAACACAACGGAUCAACACGCCAUCUAUUCCUUCAUGGGGAGGCAACUCCCCUGCUGAGCCACCGCCUCCUCUCCCCUUCCCUCACAGCACCUUUUCUCCGCCGUCUUCCUUGCGCCUUUGACAGUCGUGCCCGGAGGAGGUCGUCACCGGCGCCCGCAUCCUCGGCUCCCGCCGCCGAUUUGCCCCGCAGUUAGCCCCCACCCUUCUCUUCUUCGUGCUCUCUUAGGCGCUGGUCAAGGUGUGAUGCAGGACCUUCCCUUCUUCCCCUACUGCCGCUAGCGGCGACCCCAAGUGCGACCGUCGAUUGGCGGGCGAGGAAGAGGACCGCGCCCAAAUCGCCUCCAUUGUGAUUCGCGUCCACCUCCAACGACCGGCAGGACCCGUGAUAUGGCGACUCCCAGGGCGCUGCCGGAGGGUCCGACGAGGAAAUCGACCCGAGUAAAAAUCUUUAGAGGUCCAGUGCUCCAACAACUCUAUCAUCCAAUUUUCUGACCGGUACCAAGGUAAAGAUUGCUGGUGGAGCAGAUGGAGAGGACAGAGUCAAGCUGUGUGCUCUGAGAAAAAUGGAUGGUUGAUUUGUGGAAUUUAUGAUAGAUUUAAUGGACGUGAUGCAGCUGAUUUUCUAGCAGUAACUCUAUAUGAUAACAUAGUAUAUUACCUGUACUUGUUAGAGUGUCGUAUCAAGCAACAAGAUGUCCUAUAUAGCACAUCAGAGGACUCCCUUAAUGGGGUUAAAAGUUAAUUCGCAUUAGCCAUGGAAAUUGCAGAGAAUGAAGAUGUAAAACUUUCUAAAAGUUUUCGAGCUGGUGUGCUGAAUUGCCUCACUUCUGCUGUUGAGCAAGCUGAGAAUGAUUUCUUAUGCAUGGUUGAACAAGAUAUGGAUGAUAGACCAGAUUUAGUUUCAGUUUGAUCUUGUGUCCUGGUUGUGCUUCUUCAGGGAACAGAUUUGUGCAUUCUAAAUCUUGGGGAUAUAUAGUAGGGUUGUGCUUGCUUCCACGCCAUGAAUACUCUGUUGCUGCUGUUACACAUUACUCUUAUGGUUAUUGUUUGUUUCUCA